rnacentral:rRNA from 1 species
ACGCUCGACACCUACGGGAGGCAGCAGUGGGGAAUAUUGCACAAUGGGGGAAACCCUGAUGCAGCAACGCCGCGUGAAGGAAGACGGUUUUCGGAUUGUAAACUUCUGUUCUUAGUGAAGAUAGUGACGGUAGCUAAGGAGCAAGCCACGGCUAACUACGUGCUAGCAGCCGCGGUAAUCUGAGGCGGGCUGGCAAGGC